UAUUUUUUAUUUAUGAGUUGUGUUUUAUGUGUACAAUAUGUGUAAGACAUACUUGACAGUCAUGGCGGGAAAUUACAAAAAAAAAAAAUACUAACUACUCAGUCAUCCCUUCAUACUUUGCAAUCACUAAAUGCACAGACUUAAAGGAAUGUUAGGUUAGUAUACAAUCUAUUAGGUAAGUACAACGUCAGUGUGGUAGGUAGAAAGAUAUCGGAUUUCAACUGCGAGGAGGUUAGAGACAGUUCGACUCCUUUCCACCCGUUUACUUGAACCCUCAUGAACCGACGGCGACUCGAAGUGGUCGGCAGUAGCUACUGGUGUUGGAGAAGUGAUACGUGCUACUCUUGAACCUUAUCGUGUUUGAUAUCGGAGACCAGAUGGCUCUUCUCAAAAGUGACUGACUGGCAGCAGCGAUGGACCACCACAACUGUGAGGAAGACCCCUUGGCCCCUAGAUCCAAAUAACUACUGCAAAGCAAACCAAUGAGGGAGCAUGCAGCAAAAAUAACCAUGCACCACAACAGCACAAACACACAUCAAAAAGAGCCACUAAAGUGAGAACCACAGAAUGCUCCCUAAUUCACUAGAAAUGUUACAUCUUUGGCUGUGGUUGACAAUCAAUAGCUUCAGAUAGUUUAGGCAAUAAAAUAAAUGACAUACAAAUUGUCAAGUGAAUCCUUAAACACAGAUUGAGCUAGAAAUGUUUAGUGUGAAGUUAACAAAUAAAACAAUGAUGAUUGAUGAGGGAUAAGUUGAAACCUAGAAACAUUCAAGGUAUUCAAAAACCUAAUGGAACCUUAGAGCUCACUUGGAAAACAAAGAAUACAUAUGUAUAUACAGUAUAUUAGUAACAUAUGAUAUCAAACUUGAAGUUUGUUAAUAAAAUACUAG